rnacentral:rRNA from 1 species
UACUGAUCUUAGCGGCGGACGGGUGAGUAAUGCUUAGGAAUCUGCCUAUUAGUGGGGGACAACAUUUCGAAAGGAAUGCUAAUACCGCAUACGUCCUACGGGAGAAAGCAGGGGAUCUUCGGACCUUGCGCUAAUAGAUGAGCCUAAGUCGGAUUAGCUAGUUGGUGGGGUAAAGGCCUACCAAGGCGACGAUCUGUAGCGGGUCUGAGAGGAUGAUCCGCCACACUGGGACUGAGACACGGCCCAGACUCCUACGGGAGGCAGCAGUGGGGAAUAUUGGACAAUGGGCGGAAGCCUGAUCCAGCCAUGCCGCGUGUGUGAAGAAGGCCUUAUGGUUGUAAAGCACUUUAAGCGAGGAGGAGGCUACUUUAGUUAAUACCUAGAGAUAGUGGACGUUACUCGCAGAAUAAGCACCGGCUAACUCUGUGCCAGCAGCCGCGGUAAUACAGAGGGUGCAAGCGUUAAUCGGAUUUACUGGGCGUAAAGCGCGCGUAGGCGGCUAAUUAAGUCAAAUGUGAAAUCCCCGAGCUUAACUUGGGAAUUGCAUUCGAUACUGGUUAGCUAGAGUGUGGGAGAGGAUGGUAGAAUUCCAGGUGUAGCGGUGAAAUGCGUAGAGAUCUGGAGGAAUACCGAUGGCGAAGGCAGCCAUCUGGCCUAACACUGACGCUGAGGUGCGAAAGCAUGGGGAGCAAACAGGAUUAGAUACCCUGGUAGUCCAUGCCGUAAACGAUGUCUACUAGCCGUUGGGGCCUUUGAGGCUUUAGUGGCGCAGCUAACGCGAUAAGUAGACCGCCUGGGGAGUACGGUCGCAAGACUAAAACUCAAAUGAAUUGACGGGGGCCCGCACAAGCGGUGGAGCAUGUGGUUUAAUUCGAUGCAACGCGAAGAACCUUACCUGGCCUUGACAUAGUAAGAACUUUCCAGAGAUGGAUUGGUGCCUUCGGGAACUUACAUACAGGUGCUGCAUGGCUGUCGUCAGCUCGUGUCGUGAGAUGUUGGGUUAAGUCCCGCAACGAGCGCAACCCUUUUCCUUAUUUGCCAGCGAGUAAUGUCGGGAACUUUAAGGAUACUGCCAGUGACAAACUGGAGGAAGGCGGGGACGACGUCAAGUCAUCAUGGCCCUUACGGCCAGGGCUACACACGUGCUACAAUGGUCGGUACAAAGGGUUGCUACCUAGCGAUAGGAUGCUAAUCUCAAAAAGCCGAUCGUAGUCCGGAUUGGAGUCUGCAACUCGACUCCAUGAAGUCGGAAUCGCUAGUAAUC